AUGAACGCUGGCGGCGUGCCUAAUACAUGCAAGUCGAGCGAACAGAUGAGGAGCUUGCUCCUCUGACGUUAGCGGCGGACGGGUGAGUAACACGUGGAUAACCUACCUAUAAGACUGGGAUAACUUCGGGAAACCGGAGCUAAUACCGGAUAAUAUAUUGAACCGCAUGGUUCAAUAGUGAAAGACGGUUUUGCUGUCACUUAUAGAUGGAUCCGCGCCGCAUUAGCUAGUUGGUAAGGUAACGGCUUACCAAGGCGACGAUGCGUAGCCGACCUGAGAGGGUGAUCGGCCACACUGGAACUGAGACACGGUCCAGACUCCUACGGGAGGCAGCAGUAGGGAAUCUUCCGCAAUGGGCGAAAGCUUGACGGAGCAACGCCGCGUGAGUGAUGAAGGUCUUCGGAUCGUAAAACUCUGUUAUUAGGGAAGAACAAAUGUGUAAGUAACUAUGCACGUCUUGAUGGUACCUAAUCAGAAAGCCACGGCUAACUACGUG
rnacentral:rRNA from 1 species